UACGAGGGGGGCGAGCGUUGUUCGGAAUUAUUGGGUGUAAAGGGUGCGUAGGCGGUUUGGUAAGUCUUAUGUGAAAUCUACAGGCUCAACUUGUAGUCUGCAUGAGAAACUGCCGGGCUUGAGUAUGGGAGAGGUGAGUGGAAUUCCUGGUGUAGCGGUGAAAUGCGUAGAUAUCAGGAGGAACACCUGUGGCGAAAGCGGCUCACUGGACCAUAACUGACGCUGAUGCACGAAAGCUAGGGGAGCAAACAGG
rnacentral:rRNA from 1 species